rnacentral:misc_RNA from 1 species
AAGUCGUAACAAGGUCUCCGUAGGUGAACCUGCGGAGGGAUCAUUACUGAGUUACACUCAAACCCUGCUUAAGAAUCUGUUGUUUCGGAGGCGCCCCUCGGGAGGGGAUCUGCUUCGGCCGCCUCCAAAAGCACCUCUACUCUUUAACUUUGUCUUCAAUUUAAACAAAAAGAAAUUAAAACCUCAACAACGGAUCUCUUGGUUACA